rnacentral:rRNA from 1 species
UACGUAGGGUGCGAGCGUUAAUCGGAAUUACUGGGCGUAAAGCGUGCGUAGGCGGUUCGCUGUGUCCGAUGUGAAAGCCCCGGGCUUAACCUGGGAAUGGCAUUGGAAACUGGCGGGCUUGAGUGCGGCAGAGGGGGGUGGAAUUCCGCGUGUAGCAGUGAAAUGCGUAGAUAUCGGGAGGAACACCAGUGGCGAAGGCGACUUCCUGGCCUGUUCUUGACGCUGAGGCGCGAAAGCUAGGGGAGCAAACGGG